ensembl:snRNA U6 U6 spliceosomal RNA
GCUCAGUUCGGCAGCACAUGCACUAAAAUGAACCAUACAGAGAAGAUUAGCAUGGCUUCUGCUCAAGGAUGACACACAAAUUCGUGAAGCGUUUCAUAUUGAA